GCAUGUGACCGCAAGAGGCGGGGACUGAUCAAGACUCCAGCGUUUUCAGUAGCUCAGAUGCAUCGGGCGUAGACGUGACGAGUUAGAUCCACAGUCUCUGGACUGUUUUUUUCUCCUGGGGUCGAUGCAGAUAUUUUGUUUGGGUCAGUCAAAGUUGCCAAGUGACCCGUCGUCAGAUAAAAUCUGUUCGACCGAGAGAAGAGGACACUGGACGCGAAGUCUGCUGGCUGAAGGUCAUUUUGUAAUCAGAUCAAUAUCUGCUGGGAUGCCUCAGACAUGAUGGGCCAUUAGGCUGCAAUGAGUCCUGCAUCAAAUCGCCUCCUCUCUGCCUUGAAACCAUUUGACCAUCACAUGUGGCUUUAUGAGAGGAGCGUCACAGACUGAUUUUGAAUCAGAAUGAACUUUGCCUCUAGCUGUUUUGUAUCCAAACACAUUGUGCAUCAGUAGGAGUGUUGCACAUGCUCAGUCGGGCCCGUCUGGUGUUUUGUAGUAUCAGCAGGAAGCAGUCCUUCCUCCUCCUCCUCCUCCUCCUUUCUCCUCCAGGAGCAUGCCCUCUGAGCCUCCUCCCAGCUCUCAGGACAUGCUGACAGGACAGAGGCUGUGUCAAUCCAAAUCCCACCAGGACUCUGUCCUCUCUGCCCUUAAUCAGCAGCGCAAGGACGGACUGCUCUGCGAUGUCACCCUGGUCGCCGGGGAGCAGAAGUUCCAUGCUCAUAAGGCAGUCCUGGCAGCCUGCAGUGAUUACUUCCGGGCCAUGUUCAGUCUGUGCAUGGUGGAGAGUGAGGCAGAUGAGGUAACUCUCCAGGGUGUGACUAGCGUGGGACUGAAGCACGCACUGGACUUCGCCUACACAGGCCAGAUCAUGCUGGAGCCAGGAGUGAUACAAGACGUCCUGUCUGCUGGAAGCCACCUUCAGCUGCUGGAACUGCUCAGCCUCUGUUCACACUAUCUCAUUCAGGAGCUGAACAUUUUUAACUACCUGGACCUAUACAGGCUGGCAGACCUCUUCCACUUGCCGGCCCUAGAGGAAGCAGUGGUGGGCUUUCUGGUGGAUCACCUCUCUGAGCUACAGAGGAACAGACAAGAGGAAGUGCUGCUCCUACCUUAUCGGCUCCUGAGGGAAGUGCUAAAAAGCGACCGCCUCACCUCCCUCAGUGAGGAGGAGAUAUGGCAGUUGCUGGUGCGUUGGCUGGAGCACGACUGCAGAUACCAGUACAUGGAGGAACUGCUGCAACACGUGCGCUACGGCCUGAUGGAGGUCUCCACUCUGCACCAUGUGGCCAACAGCCACCCCUUCCUCAACUCCAGCAGCACCGUCGCCGCCCUGGUGGAGGAGGCGUUGGACUACCACCGGUCCAUAUUUGCACAGCCUUUACGUCAGACGGCACGGACCACACCGCGCUUUCAGUCAUUGACCCUGUAUAUCGUCGGCGGGCGCAAACGGGAGGUCAGCCGCGUACGGGAACUGAGGUUCUUCAACCCUUCCGCGCAGGAGCACUUACGUGUUGCCGGGGGUUCAAACUGGAGUGAGUUGGCACCCAUGCCUGCUGGACGAAGUCACCACUGUGUGGCUGUUAUGGGCAACUUCCUGUUCGUGGCGGGCGGGGAGGUGGAACACUCCACCGGACGGACGUGUGCGGUGAGGACGGCGUGCCGGUACGAUCCGAGGGUGAACCGCUGGACUGAUAUUGCACCGAUGAAAGCAUGCAGGGAGCACUUUGUGCUGGGAGCUCUGGGACAGUAUCUUUAUGCCGUUGGGGGGAGGAACGAACUGAGGCAGGUUCUGCCCAGUGUGGAGCGCUACUGUCCCAAGAGAAACAAGUGGACCUAUGUGCAACCAUUUGACCGCUCGCUGUCCUGUCAUGCAGGUUGUGUGGCGGAUGGGCUGCUCUGGGUCUCAGGUGGUGUCACUAACACAGCUCAGUACCAGAAUCGACUGAUGGUGUAUGACCCAGGACAGAAUCAGUGGUUAGCACGCAGUCCCAUGUUGCAGAGGAGGGUGUACCAUGUGAUGGCGGCAGUAGAAAGGCAGCUAUAUGUGCUGGGGGGGAACGAUCUGGACUACAACAAUGACCGCAUCCUGGUUAGACACAUUGAUUCUUACGACAUAGACAUGGACCAGUGGACACGCUGCACAUUCAGUCUCCUCACAGGCCAAAAUGAGGCAGGAGUGUCCGUCCAUGAUGACAGAAUCUAUGUGGUUGGUGGAUAUUCAAUCUGGACAAAUGAACCACUUGCCUGCAUUCAGGUGCUAGAUGUGAGCACCAAGGGGAAAGAGGAGGUUUUUUACGGGCCGACGCUCCCAUUUGCUUCGAAUGGAGCGGCGACAUGUUUCUUGCCUGCACCGUACUUCACCUGCCCCAACCUGCAGACCCUACAAGUACCACAUCACAGGAUAGGAGCUCUCUAACCUCUCCGCUCAUAACUCAAGGAUAUUCCCACAAACACACUAUGAACCAGUGAAAUCAUGUGAGAGCCUAUUGUACUUCCACAAAUUGUGACUGGUGGAUGAAACUGUCGUUGAUCAUACAUUGAUCUCGUAGAGCCAGUGUUCUGAUGGAUGUGGAAACCUUCAAAAAGAAGUUAAAGAGUUUUUUAUCGUCAGGCUUCACUGACAUUCAUGCAUUUCUGAACUGGAUGUGCUGUGGUGCUGCACCAGGCUAAUACAGUUUAACAAGCAGCGUGUAAAUCUGUCAGAAUGAUUAAGAGCCACUUCAUGGCCCAGUCCCAAAUGGCGCACUUGAUGUGAACCUGUGGUCUGUCAAGUACACAAGAUUGCAGCUUGUGCCAUUUAUCAUUUUAACAUAAAAAGGGUGUUCAUACCUUCAUACCAGUGAACUUUAUUCAACAAUCCAUGCAGAAUUCAAUCAAAAGAAAUACGCAAGAGUGGCAUUUGGGACAAGGCCGCAGUGUUAAGGGCCUGUUUUCAUAGAUUCUUGGGACUCCAUUCUGACCUUGAUGUUCUGCCACUUUUAUCCACUUGUCAUUUCUCAGCCUGUGACAAACUUUACUUUUAUCAAAACUCAGGAUGAAGACGUACAAUUGUUUACUGAAUGUGUAUGACCACAGCUGACGACAAAUGCACACACAGCAUCUUCACAGUCUGCAUCAAUGGUAGCGUCUUGACUGUUCUCCAUCCCACCACCAGAAACCCAUUCCAUAAGAAAACAUGGUUUCUACUCUACUGGUGAAUUUCUGAAAGUUGUCCAGUCAUUUGUGAUUGCUAGGAGCUCCAAUAGGAAAGAGAGAACAGCAGCGAGUCGAGGGGGAGGAGCGUGACCUUUAAACUGGAGGAAGUUCUCUCUGCAGAGACAAUGUUAUUCCUACAAGGCUGCCAGCAGGACAGGAUGAUUGACCACCGCUCCAGUAGAGGGUGUGGAUGGGAGAAAGCGGCUCAGGUACUGGGAAAUGACCCUGUGCAGCUGCUGCUUUAGGUACGCCCCCUGAGACUGGGACACACUCACCGCUACUGACAAACCCUGAAGAUACCAAGACAAUCUUAGUUAUGGCAAAGACAGGGAACUUCAUCAACAAUGACCUCAGGAUAUAGGGAAAGGUUUCAUUAGAAUAUGAAUACAGAGUAUGUAUUGGAUUUGGAGGUGUGUUAACCUGCAGGAACAGAGGCAGGCUUUCUUUGAGGGCUGACAGCAUUUGAGUGUGUGCUCCACUGUCCUGUUGGAGAAGAGCGUGGGACAGUAACAGCACAUCUACAAUGCGAAAGAGCUGUUGCUGAGCUCUAGAGGUGGCCAACAGGUGGCUCCAGUGCUUGACCAAGCAGCCUGAAAAAAUGUACAAAACCACCAUAAGUUUAUAGUACACAAAGUGCUGUUUGCAACCAAUUUUACUUUUGCAUUUUCAAGUGAAAAACAACAUUAAACCAAAGAUAGUGUA